rfam:Pseudomonas sp. FeS53a scaffold29.1, whole genome shotgun sequence.
GGGUUGAGCGACAUGGAUGUCGCGAGAGCGCUGCCGGGCCAUGGAUGGCCCGUCAGCGCGGGCCC